CACCUACAGAAAGAACUACUGACAUACCUAAAAAGAGCUUUAACAUCAAAGGUAAUUUGUACUGGCUGAGCGUCCUGGCUUUGGAACAUUGUGAUCUAGCGAUGUGCCUCUGGGCAUGGGUUCAUCACUGGAGAAAUGAAAGUUAGAAGAGAAGACAAGGGUGCUCACCCUCUCAAAGAGUGGUAAAGAUUAAGUUAAAAAAUACUAUAUCACAAAAAAAUAGGUGAUAUAGUAGUUGUCCCAGGCGGUCCUGACCACUUUUAUAACAAAAGGAGGCGUGUCCAUCAGCGCACACCAUCUCAAAUACAUGCACAUACUGAACUUUGGGCUAAGUCAAGACAACGCCCUUUGUCGAAAAAGGAAGCAGCUGUCUCCAAAUAUAAAGAGGGCUGCAGGGGCCUGGUCUCUGCAUCUUCCAACUCUACAGCAGGGCCUGGAGAGACGAAGGCGAAGCAAACUAGAAGUGCUCGCUCGGCCCUGGUCGCCGGAGGACACAGGUUCUAGACCUGAAUUUAGGGUCGCAGACUUGCGGUGCUAACGCCUGAGGGUUCCCAGGGUUUCCCGCUCGCUUUCACAGACCACCACAAGCUUAAGACCGAGAAUCACUUCCCAGGAUGGCCUGGGAUACUCAGUGAUGAACCCACGGUGACCUGGUGCUUCCUGCCCCGAGACCUGACAGCCUCAACACUCUGGGUAAAGUAAAUUAAAAACCCGGACAACUGGAGUCUUUGAGAAUGAAAACGACAUCGGGAUUCCAGACAGCUGACUCGCUCAGAGCUCCAACUGGGUGUACGCACGGCGAGUAAAGCCAACUCCUACAACGACACGUCACCGUGCUGGGCCGCUUCUUGGCUGGUGGGCGGGGCGACCCCUACUUCCGGAUCCGGCCUCUUCUGGAAUGAAACACCAAGAGGGCAGCCCUGACAGGAUUCACCCCCAGGGAUGCUAAGACGCUGAGACCUGCUGUUCCAGCUCACUGAUUGAUCCUGCCUAAACUGAUGCUCUUUUCAGAGACUUGCUUCCAGAACAGCGUCAGGAAAGACUGCUGAUCCCAGAUGACCUUAACUCAGCCAGCCAUUCAAACCAUCCCAAUCAAGACUUCAGUUAAGGCCUGAACUUUCUGAACACAGAGACAGGACAACAAAUGAUGCCAGCUAGCUUUCUUUCCACAUUACCGUUUUCCAAUUCCCUUUUGGGUCCCCAAACAGGAAUUCCUCAUCAAUAUUCAGUAAGAAGCUAUUAUAAUGAUAUUGUUGUCCCAGUCCCUAAAGUUGGGGUGGAUAGUUUUGGUCAUUUUAUAAAUUAUAGAUAUGUUGUCAUUUUAAGGGAUGAUUUACAAAUAGUUAUAGUCUUGGACAAGGAGGAAACUAGAGAGCUUAGACUAAGGAAUUUCUAUCUUUUCUCUUUCUUAUCUUCCUUUCUUUCUUCCUUCCUUUCUUUCUUAAGUAAAGGAAAGGGGAAAUAUAGUAAUAUUAUAAGAAAUUAGACAAAUAGGGAUAGAUUAUUAAAUCUACUUU
rnacentral:lncRNA from 1 species